AUGCAACGCGAAGAACCUUACCUGGUCUUGACAUACAGAGAACUUUCCAGAGAUGGAUUGGUGCCUUCGGGAACUCUGAUACAGGUGCUGCAUGGCUGUCGUCAGCUCGUGUCGUGAGAUGUUGGGUUAAGUCCCGUAACGAGCGCAACCCUUAUCCUUAUUUGCCAGCACUUCGGGUGGGAACUAUAAGGAGACUGCCGGUGAUAAACCGGAGGAAGGCGGGGACGACGUCAAGUCAUCAUGGCCCUUACGACCAGGGCUACACACGUGCUACAAUGGGAAGGACAAAGGGUCGCUAAGCCGCGAGGUGGUGCUAAUCUCAUAAACCUUUUCGUAGUCCGGAUCGGAGUCUGCAACUCGACUCCGUGAAGUCGGAAUCGCUAGUAAUCGUGGAUCAGAACGCCACGGUGAAUACGUUCCCGGGUCUUGUACACACCGCCCGUCAUACCAUGGGAGUGGGUUGCACCAGAAGUGGGUAGUCUAACUUAGGAGGACGC
rnacentral:rRNA from 1 species